rnacentral:rRNA from 1 species
GACGAACGCUGGCGGCGUGCUUAACACAUGCAAGUCGAACGGAAAGGCCCUGCUUUUGUGGGGUGCUCGAGUGGCGAACGGGUGAGUAACACGUGAGUAACCUGCCCUUGACUUUGGGAUAACUUCAGGAAACUGGGGCUAAUACCGGAUAGGAGCUCCUGCUGCAUGGUGGGGGUUGGAAAGUUUCGGCGGUUGGGGAUGGACUCGCGGCUUAUCAGCUUGUUGGUGGGGUAGUGGCUUACCAAGGCUUUGACGGGUAGCCGGCCUGAGAGGGUGACCGGACACAUUGGGACUUAGAUACGGCCCAGACUCCUACGGGAGGCAGCAGUGGGGAAUAUUGCACAAUGGGCGGAAGCCUGAUGCAGCAACGCCGCGUGCGGGAUGACGGCCUUCGGGUUGUAAACCGCUUUCGCCUGUGACGAAGCGUGAGUGACGGUAAUGUGUAAAGAAGCACCGGCUAACUACGUG